GUGGCAAUAUGUGUGUGGCCUUUGCCCACAUGUGUUGUGGUGUUGACAACACUUUGACAGCAAUCAAAGCAUGGGGCUCAAGUGCUCAAUCAUCGGCCAGGUUCGAAGAUCCCUUGCUUGAAGAUACUUGAGAAACAUUCAAUUAAUUUUUUUGGUCUUGGGUUUUCAUUUAAUUCACUUGGUUGUAAACUAAA